rnacentral:rRNA from 1 species
GAUGAACGCUAGCGGGAGGCCUAACACAUGCAAGCCGAGCGGAAGAGCUCCUUCGGGAACUUGAGAGCGGCGUACGGGUGCGUAACACGUGUGCAACCUACCUUUAUCUGGGGGAUAGCCUUUCGAAAGGAAAAUUAAUACCCCAUAAUAUAAUGAUUGGCAUCAAUAAUUAUUGAAAACUCCGGUGGAUAGAGAUGGGGACGCGCAAGAUUAGAUAGUAGGUGAGGUAACUGCUCACCAAGUCAAUGUUCUUUAGGGGUCCUGAGGGGGAGAUCCCCCACACUGGUACCGAGACACGGACCAGACUCCUACGGGAGGCAGGAGUGAGGAAUAUUGGACAAUGGGUGAAAGCGUGAUCCAGCCAUCCCGCGUGAAGGAUGACGGUCAUAGGGAUUGUAAGCUUCUUUUGUACAGGGAUAAUCUUACUAUCGAGAGAGUAGUUGAAGGUACUGUACCAGAAAGCACCGGCUAACUCCGUG